UUCCUUACUUACUUGAUUAAAUGGAACGUGUAUCAUUUCCUUGCCAUUAUACGGAUAUAUUUAUUAUAUCUUAUGGUAUUGGGUUUUGAUGCAAGCUUCUUGAUCAAAGUAUCACGAGUUUGUUAUAUAAUCGCAAACAAAUUCUUUAAUGAGAAAAUGCAUUUAUGUAUUUUCAAUUUGAAAAUUUGGUAUAACUCCAAUUACUCAGGUAUGAUCCAAUUCAAGGACAUUGCCAGGUAGGGAGUUUGACUGGGGCGGUACAUCUCUCAAAUAAUAACGGAGGUGUCCCAAGGCCAGCUCAGUGCGGACAGAAACCACACAUAGAGCAAAAGGGCAAAUGCUGACUUGAUCUCGGUGUUCAGUACACACAGGGACAGCAAAAGCUCGGCCUAUCGAUCCUUUUGGUUUAAAGAGUUUUUAACAAGAGGUGUCAGAAAAGUUACCAUAGGGAUAACUGGCUUGUGGCGGCCAAGCGUUCAUAGCGACGUCGCUUUUUGAUCCUUCGAUGUCGGCUCUUCCUAUCAUUGUGAAGCAAAAUUCACCAAGCGUUGGAUUGUUCACCCAUGCAAGGGAACGUGAGCUGGGUUUAGACCGUCGUGAGACAGGUUAGUUUUACCCUACUAAUGACAAAACGUUGUUGCGACAGCAUUCCUGCGUAGUACGAGAGGAACCGCAGGUACGGACCAAUGGCACAAUACUUGUUCGAGCGAAAAGUGGUAUGACGCUACGUCCGUUGGAUUAUGCCUGAACGCCUCUAAGGUCGUAUCCGUGCUGGACUGCAAUGAUAAAUAAGGGGCAAUUUGCAUUGUAUGGCUUCUAAACCAUUAAAAGUUUAUAAUUUAUUUUAUAAACGACAAUGGAUGUGAUGCCAAUGUAAUUUGUAGCAUAGUAAAUUGGGAGGAUCGUCGAUCAACUGAUGCCGCGCUAGUUGCAUAUAAAAACAUUAUUUAAUACAAUGACAAUGCCUAGAAUCAAUUGUAAACGACUUUUGUAACAGGCAAGGUGUUGUAAGUGGUUGAGCAGCUGCCAUACUACGAUCCACUGAAGCUUAUCCUUUGCUUGAUGAUUCGA
rnacentral:ncRNA from 1 species